UACAGAGGUCUCAAGCGUUGUUCGGAUUCAUUGGGCGUAAAGGGUGUGUAGGUGGCGCGCUAAGUCAGGUGUGAAAUUUCGGAGCUUAACUCCGAAACUGCAUUUGAUACUGGCGUGCUUGAGGACUGGAGAGGAGACUGGAAUUUACGGUGUAGCAGUGAAAUGCGUAGAUAUCGUAAGGAAGACCAGUGGCGAAGGCGGGUCUCUGGACAGUUCCUGACACUGAGACACGAAGGCCAGGGGAGCAAACGGG
rnacentral:rRNA from 1 species